rnacentral:rRNA from 1 species
UGGGGAAUAUUGCACAAUGGGCGCAAGCCUGAUGCAGCCAUGCCGCGUGUAUGAAGAAGGCCUUCGGGCUGUAAAGUACUUUCAGCCGGGAGGAAGGUGGUAAGGUUAAUAACCUUAUCAAUUGACGUUACCGACAGAAGAAGCACCGGCUAACUCCGUGCCAGCAGCUGCGGUAAUACGGAGGGUGCAAGCGUUAAUCGGAAUUACUGGGCGUAAAGCGAACGCCGGCGGUUGAUUGAGUCAGAUGUGAAAUCCCCGGGCUUAACCCCGGAAUUACAUCUGAUACUAGUCAGUUAGAGUCUUGUAGAGGGGAGUAGAAGUCCAUGUGGAGCGGUGAAAUACGUAGAGAUGUGGAAGAAUACCGGUGGCAAAGGCAGCCGCCUGGGCAAAGACUGACGCUCAGGUGCGAAAGCGUGGGGAGCAAACAGG